rnacentral:sRNA from 1 species
UUAGUAUAACGAAGGUGCAGUAUUCUAGUCAACUAGUUUAUAUGAGGGUGCCGAAAUAAGCAUCGCUGGCAUACCUAUGAAGUUCGUGGUGUUGGUCUUGAUUGCCCAAAUUGGGACUGAUACUGGGAGUUAAGAUUUUUGGGACACGUAUAACGGCAUAUACGUCCACUCCCAAUUAUCGUGGAGACCUAAGUGGGUAAGUUAUUUGAAUUUUAUCGCUUAGGAUAGAACCUGCAUAUGACGAAAGUUGUGUGCAGUGUAGCCUGCUUUGAGUGGAUAAUUCGGGAUAAAGUGCAAACUUUUAUACUUUCAAAGUACACGAAAUAUGAAAGUUGCUUUUGAAAUAUUAUUCGCAAAAUCAAGAUAAAUAUAAAUGAUGUUGUUAAGGAAAACUUCUAGACUGUAUCAAAUGAUGGCACUCUGGGGAUUAUAGUGUGGUCUCAGUGGCGAUUCGGUGCAAGUUUUGCGUAAAGGGAAACCGCUUAACUGGUGACAGAGAAGUGCAAAAUUGGGAAAUCCAACCGAACCUUAUGCCGCAAGGUUUACUCAGAGUGUUGCCUUCGUGU